rnacentral:lncRNA from 1 species
UCAAGCAAAUAAUACAAAUGGGUAAAUCUUGAUUUUCCUUUUCCACUUCUGGUUAAUUAAAUUAGUUGCGCGACACAAUAUAAAAAAUUAGAGUUGCAAUCUAAUAGUUGCAACAUAAUUCUUAGUAUAUAGUAUUAGUUUCAUAGUGCAUUGGCGAUGAUCAUAAUCAGGGUCUUCGGCCAGAACCGCACGUGCACGUGGCACUGUUAUUCUGAGGCUACCAAUUUUCCUUGAUAGUUACACGAAAGAUGAGUUAAGGUGAGCAGGAGACGACGUGGUUCAUCAAUGUGGUCCGAGUAAUCUAAGAUCGAGUUAGGUUUGGCAUGGAGAUUGACCACUAGUUAGAUGCCCUAAUGGACCUCGAAAAUCAAGGGAUUACCUCCGCAUUCCAAUGUUUGGUAAGUCCUCUUAGACUGGUCAUUGAUAUGAGGAGGGAAGGUUGUGCUAAACUCACUUUGUUGUCCAAAGCCUAAACGUCCAAGAAGGUAAUAAUUAUGGUAUCUUAUCUUUCUUAUUUACUACAUAAUGCUUCUUAUUUACUACUUCUAAGCCGAGAGUCUAUUGGAAACAACUUCUCUAUCCUCACAAAGUAGGGGUAAGGUCUGCGUACACACUACCCUCCUCAAACCCCACGGUGUGAGAUAAUACUGGGUAUGUUAUUGUUGUUAGUUGCUUCUUAUUUACUACAUAAUGCUAGUUCUGGAAAAUUUUAAUUAGACCCUAAUUAGUGAUUAAUACUUACCAUUGAUGAUCAUAUAGAUGCUUCUUGGUGUAGUAAAGCGAAGAGAGACUUUACAAGAGAUGACAUUUAUCCACUUAAAAUUCAGCUCAACAUUCACGAAACAUAUUUGGGCGACCAAGUUUAAUUACUUGCUGAAAGUUUGAUUAAACGAGUGCCACAAUAUGAUAAAAAUGGCUCAUCAAUUGAGAGUUGCAAGAUUUGUUUAAGAACAUUAAUUGAAAGAAAGCAACUUUAAAGCAUUAUUCUUAUGCAAAACUAGUUGUAUUAGCAAUGCAAAGCUUCUGUUUCGAUUGGAGAGUACCGCGGAAAUAGCGCGGGCCGCAAGUACACCGAGUACACGUGAUUGGGCCUCGAAAAGGGAACUUUAUGUUUGACCUGGUUAGUGUCUGGGCCUCAACAAAUAUAGCUCAAGUAGUAGUUAAUACGGAUUAUAUCGGGAUUUGUGGUGGUGGUGAUGGUGGGGUGGGGGGGGGGGGGCUGAUUUGGGGUGUUGAUAUUUACUCUCUUCGUUCAAAUUUUAUUUUGUGUUGUGUUUAUAUAAAGAUUUUUAUAUUAAUAAUAAUGAUUAAUUAUUGUAUAACCUCACCUCAUUAAAUUACUCACCCAUGAUAAUUGAUAUAAUUUUAUAUAAAUAACAAAUGCGCAUAAGAUUACUAGUUAUAGGGCAUUCCUAGUUUCUCAUGCGAGGUGUGUACAAUGUAAUAUAUUUGUUAACUACGUUUUGAAGAACACAAUUUAAAAUCUAUUAAGAAUUCCUAUCAACGUUUCUCCUAUGUUGAUUCACUUUCCUUGAUAUCUUGAGAAAAUGAAAUUGAGUGAAAAGUACAUUUUGCCUUGGAUUCCCUUCUUCUUCUUCUUCUUCUUCUUCUUUAAUUUCCUAGUGUUCCAUCUUUCAGCUUUUCACUUCUACCAAGCAACUUAAUAACCAAACAAAAGACAAAAUUUUUGAGGUCCAAACAUUUUGAGUAUCAGAGGUAGAUUCAGAAUUUUGAGAAGAUGGAUAUAUUAUUACGAAUGGGUAGAAGCUGUCACUGUAGUCGCUGGGGGGUUAAGCCGCCUCUGUAUCUAGUGUUGUGAUUACAUAUAGAUUUCUAUAGUACUUAACAAUAAUUAAUUAUUAUAUAGUCUCACCUCAUCAAAUUAUUCAACCAUGAUAAAUUAAUUUGCUUUUAUAUAAACAUCUGAUGCGCAUAAGAUUACUCUUUAUAGGGCGUUCCUAUUUUCUCAUGCGAGGUGUGUACAGUGUAAUAUAUCUGUUAACGACGUUUUGGAGAACACCUUUUAAAAUUGUUGGCCUAAGUGAAGUUUGUUUUGAUGAUUGACAAAGGAACUCAAGCAUGAACCAGGUCCAUACACAGUAUACAUAGACACGGGCAGAUUCAAGCACAAGCCUUGCACGUGAAGGAGAUAAGCUUAAGUGAUUAUAUCUGAUAUCUCCUGAACAAAAAUAUUGCAUAAGUGUUAAGGAGAAGGACUCCUUACUCGAAGAGAACUCUAUCCUAGAUAAGGGAGGAGUUAGAAGUUGAAGAUAACUAGAACUCUUCCACCAAGGAAGAGUAAAGCACUAGAGUUCUAGUUAUUAAUUUCAUACUCUACUAACGCUAUAUAUUGCAGGAUGUUCUCAUUUUACAGGUACGCACAAACGCUGAAGUUAAAUGUGAGUUGAGAGCAAAAUAGCAAGGCAUUUUGCAAGUAAUUCUUGUGUGAUUCAAGUGUGCAAACCUGAAACUACACGAACCUGAUAGAAGAACCAGUUUCAAGUGUCUGUCUUUUAUUCUAGUUUCAUUGUAGUAGGGCUUUUGAGUUGUACCUUUCAGCUUUAUCUAGAAGUAAUUGUAUUAGGUACUCUGAGUAUUGUAUUCAAGUUAUAGUUAACUUGAAGUUGUCGUAACAACUAGAGGCUGGUUGCCAGAAAGGGUUAGAGGUAAUCCUUAGGUUUACAAAGAGUUUUGUAAAUGCUGUUUUGGGCUC